CAGUAGCCGCGGUAAUACGUAGGGUGCAAGCGUUAAUCGGAAUUACUGGGCGUAAAGCGUGCGCAGGCGGUUAUAUAAGACAGAUGUGAAAUCCCCGGGCUCAACCUGGGAACUGCAUUUGUGACUGUAUAGCUAGAGAACGGCAGAGGGGGAUGGAAUUCCGCGUGUAGCAGUGAAAUGCGUAGAUAUGCGGAGGAACACCGAUGGCGAAGGCAAUCCCCUGGGCCUGUACUGACGCUCAUGCACGAAAGCGUGGGGAGCAAACAGGAUUAGAUACCCCAGUAGUCCCUGUCUCUUAUAC
rnacentral:rRNA from 1 species